rnacentral:rRNA from 1 species
GAUGAACGCUGGCGGCGUGCCUAAUACAUGCAAGUCGAGCGAACAGACGAGGAGCUUGCUCCUCUGACGUUAGCGGCGGACGGGUGAGUAACACGUGGAUAACCUACCUAUAAGACUUGGAUAACUUCGGGAAACCGGAGCUAAUACCGGAUAACAUGUUGAACCGCAUGGUUCAACAGUGAAAGACGGUUUUGCUGUCACUUAUAGAUGGAUCCGCGCCGCAUUAGCUAGUUGGUAAGGUAACGGCUUACCAAGGCAACGAUGCGUAGCCGACCUGAGAGGGUGAUCGGCCACACUGGAACUGAGACACGGUCCAGACUCCUACGGGAGGCAGCAGUAGGGAAUCUUCCGCAAUGGGCGAAAGCCUGACGGAGCAACGCCGCGUGAGUGAAGAAGGUCUUCGGAUCGUAAAACUCUGUUAUUAGGGAAGAACAAAUGUGUAAGUAACUAUGCACGUCUUGACGGUACCUAAUCAGAAAGCCACGGCUAACUACGUG